CCUACGGGUGGCAGCAGUGGGGGAUAUUGCACAAUGGGGGGAACCCUGAUGCAGCGACGCCGCGUGGGUGAAGAAGCGCCUCGGCGCGUAAAGCCCUGUCAGCAGGGAAGAAAAUGACGGUACCUGAAGAAGAAGCCUCGGCUAACUACGUGCCAGCAGGCGCGGUAAUACGGAGGGGGCACGCGUUCUCCGGUUUUACGGGGGGUAAAGGUGUCGCAGGCGGCGAUGCAAGCCAGGAGUGAAAGCCCGGGGUCCAACCCCGGGAGUGCACUUGAAACUGCGUGGCUGGAGUGCAGGAGGGGCAGGCGGAAUGCCUGGUGUAGCGGUGAAAUGCGUAGAUAUCAGGAGGAACACCGGUGGCGAAGGCGGCCUGCUGGACUGCAACUGACGUUGAGGCCCGAAAGCGUGGGGAGCAAACAGGAUUAGAUACCCCUGUAGUC
rnacentral:rRNA from 1 species